rnacentral:rRNA from 1 species
UGAUCCCUUCCCGAACUCAGAAGUGAAACGACGCAUCGCCGAUGGUAGUGUGGGGUCUCCCCAUGUGAGAGUAGGUCAUCGUCAAGC